rnacentral:rRNA from 1 species
GUUUACCAAAAACAUGGCUUCAUGACAUUUUUUGAUAUGAAGUCGGACCUGCCCAGUGAAUUUUUCAACGGCCGCGGUACUCUGACCGUGCAAAGGUAGCAUAAUCAUUUGCCUUAUAAUUGAAGGCUGGAAUGAAUGGUUUGACAAGAGUGCAACUGUCUCUUUAUGAUUCAAUAGAAUUUUAUUUUGGGAUGAAAAAGUCCUAAUAUAAUUAAAAGACAAGAAGACCCUAUCGAGCUUGAAAUAAAUUAACAAAAGAAAAAUUUAUUAGACGAAAAAAUUGUGUUGUUAAACAUUUUGGUUGGGGCAACUAAGGAGUAAAAAAAGCCUCCUUUAUGUUAAGAUAAACUAACAAGUACUGAUCCAAACUUUUUGAUCAAAGAAAAUAGUUACCGUAGGGAUAACAGCAUUAUCUUUUUUGAGAGUUCCUAUCGAAAAAAAGGUUUGUGACCUCGAUGUUGGACCAGAAUAUCCUGAAGAUGCAGAAGUCUUCAAGGGUUGGUCUGUUCGACCAUUAAAAUUCUACGUGAUCUGAGUUCAGACCGG